UGGGGAAUUUUGGACAAUGGACGCAAGUCUGAUCCAGCCAUGCCGCGUGCGGGAAGAAGGCCUUCCGGGUUGUAAACCGCUUUUGUCAGGGAAGAAACGCUCUGGGCUAAUACCCUAGGGUAAUGACGGUACCUGAAGAAUAAGCACCGGCUAACUACGUGCCAGCAGCCGCGGUAAUACGUAGGGUGCAAGCGUUAAUCGGAAUUACUGGGCGUAAAGCGUGCGCAGGCGGUUAUGCAAGACAGAUGUGAAAUCCCCGGGCUCAACCUGGGAACUGCAUUUGUGACUGCAUAGCUAGAGUACGGUAGAGGGGGAUGGAAUUCCGCGUGUAGCAGUGAAAUGCGUAGAUAUGCGGAGGAACACCGACGGCGAAGGCAAUCCCCUGGACCUGUACUGACGCUCAUGCACGAAAGCGUGGGGAGCAAACAGGAUUAGAUACCCUGGUAGUCCACGCCCUAAACGAUGUCAACUGGUUGUUGGGAAGGUUCCUUCUCAGUAACGUAGCUAACGCGUGAAGUUGANCGCCUGGGGAGUACGGCCGCAAGGUUG
rnacentral:rRNA from 1 species